rnacentral:rRNA from 1 species
GAUGAACGCUGGCGGCGUGCCUAAUACAUGCAAGUCGAGCGAACGGACGAGAAGCUUGCUUCUCUGAUGUUAGCGGCGGACGGGUGAGUAACACGUGGAUAACCUACCUAUAAGACUGGGAUAACUUCGGGAAACCGUAGCUAAUACCGGAUAAUAUUUUGAACCGCAUGGUUCAAAAGUGAAAGGCGGUCUUGCUGUCACUUAUAGAUGGAUCCGCGCUGCAUUAGCUAGUUGGUAAGGUAACGGCUUACCAAGGCAACGAUGCAUAGCCGACCUGAGAGGGGGAGCGGCCACACGGGAAUGUAUAGACGGUCGGGAGGCCUCCGGGAGGAAGAAGUAGGGAAUGUUGUGCAAGGUGAUCAAGCCGUACGGAGAUACGCCGAGGGAGUAAUAAAGGUUUACGUAUCUUAAAACUCUUUGACUAGGGAAGAACAGAUGUCUACGUAACAGUGCAGAACUGGAGGGGAGCUAAUCGGAGGACCAGGGCUAGCUAGAUG